UCCGGGGGGAGCUAUCGUUGUUCGGAAUUACUGGGCGUAAAGCGCACGUAGGCGGCUUUUUAAGUCAGAGGUGAAAUCCCGGGGCUCAACCCCGGAACUGCCUUUGAAACUGGAGAGCUAGAAUCUUGGAGAGGCGAGUGGAAUUCCGAGUGUAGAGGUGAAAUUCGUAGAUAUUCGGAAGAACACCAGUGGCGAAGGCGACUCGCUGGACAAGUAUUGACGCUGAGGUGCGAAAGCGUGGGGAGAAAACAGG
rnacentral:rRNA from 1 species